rnacentral:rRNA from 1 species
CGUGGAGUCGCAUGGACGAAGUCUGACGGAGCACGCCGCGUGAGCGAUGAAGGCCUUCGGGUCGUAAAGCUCUGUUGUUAGGGAAGAACAAGUGCUAGUUGAAUAAGCUGGCACCUUGACGGUACCUAACCAGAAAGCCACGGCUAACUACGUGCCAGCAGCCGCGGUAAUACGUAGGUGGCAAGCGUUGUCCGGAAUUAUUGGGCGUAAAGCGCGCGCAGGCGGUUUCUUAAGUCUGAUGUGAAAGCCCCCGGCUCAACCGGGGAGGGUCAUUGGAAACUGGGAAACUUGAGUGCAGAAAAGGAAAGUGGAAUUCCAAGUGUAGCGGUGAAAUGCGUAGAGAUUUGGAGGAACACCAGUGGCGAAGGCGACUUUCUGGUCUGUAACUGACGCUGAGGCGCGAAAGCGUGGGGAGCAAACAGGAUUAGAUACCCUGGUAGUCCACGCCGUAAACGAUGAGUGCUAAGUGUUAGAGGGUUUCCGCCCUUUAGUGCUGAAGUUAACGCAUUAAGCACUCCGCCU